UACGUAGGGUGCGAGCGUUAAUCGGAAUUACUGGGCGUAAAGAGUGCGUAGGCGGUUCUUGAAGUCCGCUGUGAAAGCCCCGGGCUUAACCUGGGAAUAGCAGUGGAAACUGGAGGACUUGAAUUGAGCAGAGGGGGGUGGAAUGCCGCGUGUAGCAGUGAAAUGCGUAGAGAUGCGGCGGAACACCGAUGGCGAAGGCAGCCCCCUGGGCUUAAAUUGGCGCUGAGGCACGAAAGCGUGGGGAGCAAACAGG
rnacentral:rRNA from 1 species